GACGAACGCUGGCGGCGUGCUUAACACAUGCAAGUCGAACGGAAAGGCCCUGCUUUUGUGGGGUGCUCGAUUGGCGAACGGGUGAGUAACACGUGAGUAACCUGCCCUUGACUUUGGGAUAACUUCAGGAAACUGGGGCUAAUACCGGAUAGGAGCUCCUGCUGCAUGGUGGGGGAUGGAAAGUUUCGGCGGUUGUGGAUGGACUCGCGGCUUAUCAGCUUGUUGGUGGGGUAGUGGCUUACCAAGGCUUUGACGGGUAGCCGGCCUGAGAGGGUGACCGGCGACAUUGGGACUGCGAUACGGCCCAGACUCCUACGGGAGGCAGCAGUGGGGAAUAUUGCGCAAUGGGCGGAAGCCUGAUGCGGCAACGCCGCGUGCGGGAUGACGGCCUUCGGGUUGUAAACCGCUUUCGCCUGUGACGAAGCGUGAGUGACGGUAAUGGGUAAAAAAGCACCGGCUAACUACGUG
rnacentral:rRNA from 1 species